rnacentral:lncRNA from 1 species
ACCCAUUCCCAAUUUCCCUUUUCUUUGCAUUGAGCUUUUCUUCUCAUUUUAUCUUUUGUUUUCUUUUCUAUCUUUUUCGUUUUUUUUAUGUUUUGCUCAACACAUUAGCUCAAUGCUUAUCUUUUUCUUUUUCAACUUUCCCAACAGCCCCAAACUUGAACCUUUAUCAAUACCACACAAUAAUUCUCAACUUAACUCAAGGUAAAGAUUUGCAAAAGGGUUUUCU